GAGAUAUUAGUAAAAUAUUACAUUACCUUGUCAAGGUAGAAUUAUUGGUUGAACCCCAGUAUAUCUCA
rnacentral:tRNA from 1 species